ACAAAACUCCCUGCGGUUAUGACCCACGAACCCACGAACUCGGGCAUCCCAACACGCGAGCUCAUCCAAUCCAAUCCGACCUCACGCCCUCGCACCCCUGCUUUCUAUCCGCCUCCCGUCCCCAGGCUGCUGUUCCCAUCGCGGCGCAUCCCCCAUCUCUAGCCGAGCCACAUCCCCAACCCAGCACCGCCAGCCGGCGAUACCGCUCACACACAGCCGCCUUUCCUUCCUUCUCGUCGCGCCGCAGUGCGAUGCGUUGCCGUCCAUCGCCUACGUCCACUCUCAUGGGCGCGCAUGUCAGGUCGGGAAGAACUUCUUCCCUUGGUCGGCAUCAACAAUGGUAGGAGCGCGGCAAGGUCGACAGCGCUGCGAAUGUGGGGGGCGAUCGCGGUGGCCGCCUCCACGAGAGCUAUUCUCCAAAUCCGACACCGGCGGCCGCCAUCUUCCUCUAGGUAUUUCACCAUACGGCGACUGGGCUGUGAACGAUAGCACGGGAGCCCAACUGCUCAAGUACACCGUCCAGGACCAGCUGGAGUACAUGCUCACUGAAGAUGACGACACACCUAUGCGAGCACGAGGCUGUAAAGUCUCUGGUGAAGGACCUUGCCACAGGUUCGUCAGAUAUUGAUAGGAGUUUUUUUAGCAAAUUUCAGCAAUGUCUUUGGUUGUCAUUGUCAAAUCACCCAGUAUGGUAGAUAUGGAGUUGUUGCUCUA